CCACUAGAUGACGAAGAGCUGAUCUAGUACAUCAUCACCGGCCUUGGCGAGGGAUAUAGUGAAGUUAUCUCCGCUAUGUGCGUGCGAUCUGAGCCUCUCACGGUGGGGAAACUUUAUUCGCAAAUCCUGAAUUAUGAGG
rfam:Oryza brachyantha chromosome 1, whole genome shotgun sequence.